GUGAACCUUUGGAACUGGGGCUGAAGCUUCUUCCAGUUGCUUGCCCAGGUGUCAGUGAGACCGCUCCCUGGCAGAUAGGGGGAGCUGUGUGUCAGAGAAAUCCCAGCCACUAGGAGCAGCAGCACUCAGCUGCACCUCAGGCAGACGUUUCUGCUCUUGUGCAAAGAACAGAGCAAUCCAUGCAAGUUCACAGGGGCAGGUGGCACUUGAAAAGGCACAAUUCAGGAAGACCCUACAGUUUCUCUGCAGGCUCAUGGGAGCUUUCAGAACUGAGACAACACACAGACAGAUCCAGGCCUGCUUGGAGGGUCUUGCUCUGUCAUCCAGACUGGAGUACAGUGGUGCAACCACGGCUCACUGCAGCCUUGAACUCCUGGGCUCAAGCAAUCCUCCUACCUCAGCCUCCACAGCAGUUGGGACCACAGGUAUGUGCCACCAUGCCCGGCCAAUUUUGUUUAUUUUUUUGUAGAGGCGGGGUCUCUCUAUGUUGCCCAGGCUAGAACUCCUGGACUCAAGCAAUCCUCCCACCUCAGCUUCCCAAAGUGUUGGGAUUACAGACGUGAGCCACCACGCCUAACUUAGUUACAAUAUUUUAAACUUACGAUGUAUUUAUCAAGAUGUAGCCCCAUCAUAUGUUGAGGAGCAUCUGUAUAUUCUCAAUAUAUUUCUUUUCUCUGGCGAGACCCCAGUUCCUAAAAUGACCCAACCUUCUUAUUUACCAACGGGCAACUUGGGGAGAGGAUGUUGAAUUUGACCUCUGGCCCCUAACUCAGGGUUCUCUAAAGUAGAAUUUGGGCUUCGUGAACUACAGUGUGUUUUAAAAGUCCAGCGGAAGUUGCUCCUCGUCCCCAUCAUGGGAACAUUAAUGUUCUUGCCUCUGGCUGGCUUUACUAUGUCCUUACUGCAGUGACGUUGUUACGUCCUUACUGCAGUGACGUUCCUUGCUGAUGGAAAGGGCUGAAUUCCCGCUUCACUCUUUCCCUCUUGUCCUCUGGCCUGAUGCAAAGGCCCCCACCAGGUGCCCGGCAGGAUCCUCCCCUUUCUGCUCAAGCCACUGCCAGACAGGGUUUCAGCUAGAGACUGAAGCCAGAGGGAAAAGGAAAUAGGGGCUUUCAUGCAUUUGCUUUUAAGAAGAAAAUGGCUCUUUGCCCCAUGUCCUCUCCUUCCCAUGGGCAGCCUCUCUCUCUUCAGCCAUGGAGAGGCAGUGGGAACCAGCGUCCCCACCCAGAGGCAGCAAUGACAACUUGGUCUUUGGGGCUGACAUGAGGCAUCAGCACUUGCUGGGAAGUAGUGGCAGCUGGCAGGCCAGCCAGCAGCCACCAAAGGCACAGCUUCAGCAAUGGCAUCAUGCUGCCUGCCUGGCUGACAAGGCUCUUGUUGGCUGUUGGGGCUGUGUAGGCAGCAGUUGUAAGCCAGUAACAGCACUGCCUAUUUGCAGCAGGAAAGGGCCUGGAGGGCACCUGUCCCUUCUUGGUACAUUCGUGUUGGAUGAUUUGCACACACACACAUGCACACACUCAUAGUGAUGGUGGAGGGGAGCAGGCAAGUCACUCCAGUGGGACAGAUGACUGUGAGCAUGCCCUAGGCUGGCUCCAUUCCCUUGCCCAACAUCUAAACAGUCAGAAGGCCGCUACUAUGACCUUUCAGUGGACAACUGGACCUUGACCAAAGAGGCCCUGCAGACACAGGUGAGCGACUGGAGCUCCCCUGCAAAGUGGGUCCCUGCCUGGGGACCUCCCUGGGUGGAUCAAUGUGCUUACACCGCAAGUGGCAGGGCCCUGUUGGGUUCACAGCAGCUGUGUGGGUCGGCUCUCAGCCACCCCCCUGACCACCCCCAGCCCUCUGUCUGGGGAUCCCCCUGAGCCCAGACUACCUGAGUACUCUUCAGGCUCCUCACUGCCUGAUAUGGUUUGGUUCUGUGUCCCCCAAAUCUCAUGUCAAAUUGUAAUUCUCAAUGUUGGGGGAGGGGCCUGGUGGGAGGUGAUUGGAUCAUGGGGGCGGACUUCCCCCUUGUUGUUCUCGUGAAGGUGAGUUCUCAUGAGAUCUGGUUGUUUAAAAGUGUGUGGCACCUAUCCCCUCACUCUCUCUCUCCUGCCGCCAUGUGAAGAAGGUGCCUGCUUCCCCUUCGCCUUUGCCUUCUGCCAUGAUUAUAAGUUUCCUGAGGCCUCCCAGCCAUGCUUCCUGUUAAGCCUAUGAAACUGUGAGUCAAUUAAACCUCUUCUCUUUAUAAAUUACCCACUCUCAGGUAGUUCUUUUUAGCAGUGUGAAUACAAAUGAAUACACCACCUCUCAAGCAAGUUUUCUAGACAGAACAGUGAAUGAAAUAAUAUGACCGUUUUAUAUUAUAGAAGACAAAAACAUGUACUUCCUUUUAGCUCUGGACUGGGCAACUACUGGUCCCCUCAGCAAAGAUUCAUCUUUCUGCAUUUGCAGUAAAAACAUGUCCAACUCCAGGUUUGGGGAUGAGGACAAAUCAGCUGGUCCACGGUGGAGAAACCCUGUCACAGUAGAGUGAGUUGGUCUGGGGGUGCGGCUUGCAGUAGGAGUGUGUGUCUCAACAGACAGAGCCCCCUUGCUCCUGACUUUUCGCCACACUCUGCAUCUGCUGCAGCCAAGCAGAGGGUGGUGCCUGCAGUGGUAAGAGCUCACUGCAGGUUCAUGAACAGAUGCUGGUUGUGUGUCAUGGUAAAUGGUAGGAAAACAUGGACUGACUGAAGGGAGGAAGCCUGAAGAGGAAUACAAUUUAAGUACAUGUGUUUGAGCCUGGCUGUCCUUUGCAGCCAGGAGCUAAUGACACUUGUGAGCAGGAGAAGUCAGUUCAAACACAUCAGUGAUGAGGGCUGACAAAAAAAGGGUAAGCAGGACCCUAUCCAAUGUGGCCAAUGGUUUACUCAUGGGGAGCCGUGGCUAACACAGCAGCUUCACGAUGUAGCAGUGGGUCACGGUACAUUUAAUGAACUGAUGGCCUGGGGGUUCCUUGCAGAGGAGAAAAAAAUUCAACAGAAGGUAGUCCUAGAUACAAUUCCUUUAUUAUCAUUAUCAUGCCCCCUAGCACAUGAAGCUGGGCUUCCACCGAGAUCAGCUAAGGACAGGGGUAUGUUUACAAUGAGAACAAUUUCUCUAUAUGCAUUAGGUUAAGACAUCUUCUCUGUUUCUAGAAUACUGUGAUGACUCACAUCCAUGGGCCAGCUGCUUCCAGGAAUCCAUCUGGCCUCAACAACAUUGGGCUGCCUGGAAUAACGGCUGGCACUUGCACAGGGCAGCUUAUGGGGAACAGGCCUCAGGUUUAUAAGCAGGACUGGGCACUGCUGAAAUAGGGGAAGGGGGCAGCCAGAAUGUAGCAGGUUCUCCCAAGGCACGUAGAAGUUGGUGGGAAAAUGGGGCUGGGGUGUGUAACUUGUCCCCUUCCAGGAAGGGACCCAGGCACCUGGUCUCCUGGCCAAGAUCACAGGCGAUCCAAGAGUCCUCCAGGGAAGAGCAAGAACUGCGCAGAUGCACAGCAGAGAGGCUUUCCUGGCUGGCCAUGAGCUGACCAUGGUGACACGCUUCACUCCCAGCCCCCAAUGGUGGAGCGAGUCGGGAAUCUCGGCUGCUGCAGGUGGAGCUCAGCUGGACAGCCUGAGGUACUCGUGAACCCUGAGCGUUGUGACUUAUAAAGGAGGGUGGCUGCAUCUUCCUUUGGGGUUUGGUCUAAAGCAGUGGUUCUCAAAGUGUGGUUCCAGGGCCAGCAGCUACAGCUCCUGGGAACUUGUGAGAAAUGCAGAUGACUGGUCUUGCCCACUCCUGUUGAGAAAUUCUGGGGGUGGGGCCAGCAAUCUGUUUGGAAAAGCCCUUCCAGGUGAUUCUGAUACUCACCAAAGUUUGAGAACCACUGGUUUAGACGCUUGCUUGGUCACUAUACCCUCAGUGGAUGUGAGCCCGGCCCAGCAGCCAUGCAAAAGACUGGCCUUCCCUCCUCAGCCCCAGAAUGGCCAGUAUAUCAAGAAUGUUUUCCAGGUGGGUGACAGUUUGGGCGGUGAUGACAGUGACUGUUCCAACUCAGUUCUCCAGCCUCAAAACCCUGAAGAGGACCCAAGUAGCAGAUUCUGAAACAAAGCUGGCUCCAGGGCAAGAGGGCCCCGAGGCACAUCACAACGAUCUACCAUAUUCCCCCCACACCCCACAGGGCCGUGCUGGGCCCUUCUGGAUAUAAACACCUCUAGCCAUGCACAGCACAAGCUCCCUGACAGAAAUCACCCACGGUCCACCCCAGAGCCCCAGCAACAGCAGGUGCCCCAUGCAGGGGGCUAGAAAGAAGGCAGAAAAGGGCCUCACCUGAAGGGGAGGUGGUCAACACACCCCCAGGGUGCCCCUCCCUGCCCAAGGUUGCUCUGGGAGUGGGUGUGACCUGAGGGGUGACCUCCAUGUGGACAUGAGAUUCCGCACCCUGCAUGAAGACCCUGAGGGCUGAGGGACAGUCCCUGCUCUUGCUUUGGGGUUAGUGUUGGUACCUGGGGUGAUGGGCUGGGUGGUUGUCAUGGGCCUUGGCCCUUUAGGAUCCCGGUUGCUGCCUGAGCCCCUGCACCCGGAGGGUCCAGCUGUCAGCCUGAAAUAAGCCAGGCUUCUGCACCCCCGUCCCAUAUGCCACAGGUGCUGCUUUGUGACAGUGCCCCCUGAGUGACACUGUGUUCCUUAAUGACAGCCUGAUGGCUCAUUACGGAGAUGGAGAACUGGGGAACACUGAGGAGAGGGGUUCCCGGCCCAGCUUUCUUCCUUCUCCCCAGCUGGGGGUGGCAAGACAACAGCCAUGACCACUGACAAACAAGUCUUAACUUUGCCCAGCCUUAAUUUCCUUUUAUAAAAUGGGGGAAAUAACACCCUCUUGCUGGGGUAACUGCGAGAUAAGUAUUUACAGUGACAGAUUCUAAGUGCACAGCAGGACCUUGGUAAAAAAUCCCUGGACACACUCCCACUUACUCUGCCUGAGGGGCUCCUGGAGAUGGGGCUAGGGUGCCGGGGAAGCAGGAGGGAGAAAGAGAAGAAAGGGCAAAAACAUUCCACCCCCUCAGCCAAGGCCACGUUUCAUUCUUGCCUGCUGUCCUGACACAGGUCACCCCCGGGGGACUCGGGGAGGUGCCCUUCUCUCUUGGUGUCUGCCCCUGCGAGCUUAGGGAAGGACAGCAUGGUGUGUGCAGGGCAAGGACAUGCCCGUGCCAGCUGGGUGGGAUCCCAGCACCUGAUGCUGCCUUCCUGGGGCCCUGGUGUGCAGGGGCCUUUUGCCGCACGGGACUGAUGGUGACAUUCCCCAGGCGUGUUCUCUCUCUCCAGGGAACUCAAGGCUGUAGCAGCCUCCAAGCAGGGGCCCGGGAGGAAUUGACCUGGGUACAGAUCUGUACCCUUGUCAGCAGGAGGGGCACACCCCGCUGGGGACCACAUCGUUGGCUCUGGACUCCAACCAUUGUACACUCCCAGGCAGAACCUGCCCUAUACUGGGCCUCUGUUUCCUCUAACCCUGUCUCAUCUCCCAGGCUGUUGGCAUGGACAAGGAGGUCAGAUUUCCAAGCCCUGGGUUGUUCUACCACUGUCUGCAGCUUGGACAAGCCAUCUUUCAAGAGGCAGUCUGGCUGGACGACACACAGGGCAGGAAUUGCAGCUAAUCCUGCCCCAGUCAGGCUGGACCAACCAUCCCAUGGGGCUGGCGCAGAUGGGGCAGGCUGUCCUGGGCCUGCCUUCAAUGAUAAGGCUGUGCACAGGGCACCUGCCUGCCACCUGUCUUUCAUCCCCACCAGGGCAGACAGGUAAGGCCCCAGCACCCCCUGCCCACUGCCGCCUCCCCCUGGCACCUCGGCAGGAAGAACAUGGCUCUAGCCCAGUACCCUCUUUCUCUCUCUCACCACUCUCCCUCUGUCAUAAGAGUUGUCAGUUGUGAUCUCAUCCUUCAGAGAACCUGGGAGUCAUAGUCAGUUUUUGAUUAUCUGCAUGAAUCCCAGGAGGUUGGAGGGCAGCAACGCUAAUCACGCACUAUACCAUUUCUCUCGGCCUCCGUGCAGUCUGGGAUAUCUGGUCUUCAUUUUAAUGAAUUUGCAUUGGCAACUCCAGGGCCUUUUAGGCAGGGGAGAUAAACCAGCCUAGGCUACAAGAAGCCACUGGAGAACACCCAGAGAAGAGGAGGAACCAGCCCCAAGGCUGGGCUUCCCUCUGUCCAUGUGGGUACUUCCUGUGCUGAGGAUGCAGUUUCUGGACAGUUCAGGACUCUGUUGGGGUCAGCACUGGGUGGCCUUGAGGCCACUCCUAUGUAUGGGAGAGAGAGCACACCUGCCCCAGGACUGGCCUAGGUCAGCAAUGUGCUCAUCACAGUGCAAUCUGGAUCAAGCAGGGAGGUGAGCUGGGACCUCGCUCAGCCUCGGCCUUAGCACAACAAGGUGCCCCCCUUCAUGGGGGGAAGUAAGAGGGUCCCGCUCUGGGGAGAAGUGCAGGAGCUGGGGAGGGUGGAAGCCAGGUGUGGGGUUCUUGUGCAGUGAAUGGGCUGCCCCCUUGUAAUAGCCAUUUGGGGGGGGGUCCCUAUGGGUGUUGUACAAAAAGCUGCCAGCAUGGAUACUUUGUAUUUUCUAGGAUUUUCUUUCUGUUCUCCCUUAUUACUGGGGAAAGUUCUUCCUGAAAAUUCUGCAAAUUCCCUGCUGAACUUAGUGAUGCAAGAGAGAACCCAAGGAAAAAGCUCUGUCCACUCUAGGACGGGUGGGAAGGGAAGCAGAGCGGGACCCCCUGGAAGCAGUGUGGUGGUGGCUACGGGGUCAAGGAGAGGGUCCCAGGAAAAGUGAGGUUCAGGCAGAUGCCCCUCUAUUCAGAGCUGCCCCUUCUCAGCAGCUCCGACUUUGCAGGGUUGCGAGUUGGUCCACUCCAGGAGAUGUUUGACACCCAUCAACAUUAGGUGCUGAAAAUGGUCUGAAAACCUGGUGUUCCUGAGAAUCAGGCCCCGGAACAGGAGAUCCCCGAGGGGCGUAUCACUAGAGGCCAGGGCUUGGGGCCAUGGUCUCCCAGGGAGGUUUCUCCCAGGAAGGCAGCUAGGCAGGUGCAGGGCUCUGCUCCUAGUGCAGCAUGUGCUGGUAUGGCCACCUUACCCCCUGCUUCCUGCCAGGGCGGCUCUACCCAGCCUGUGGCUGCCCUACCCAGGCCUCCCCACUCCUAGGCCCUGCAGGAAGGAAUGAGCCCAGCAGGACAUGGCUUUCCAGGUGAGGCAGUGUGGAGAGUGGGCAGGUCAAAGGGCAAGGUCUUCUUGGGGGAAAUGCCAGCCCUCCCUGCCCCACCCCAUGCUUUUUCCAGAAACAACAAGGUCAGGGCUUCUGGGCAUGGGUGGGGGAAUCCCGUGCUGAAUGCAGGAGUGCCGGGGUUCCUGGGUUUUCUGCCGAUUGUUUCAGGUUCAGGAGCUGGGAGGGAGCAGAGAACCCAACCGCCACCCUCCCGUAGUCCACGGGUGCCCCCGUGCCUGGUGAGGGGCUCUGGUUGUCUCCUGAAAGGAUCAUUUCCCUGCCCAGGAUCUGGCCAUGGGGGCUCAGAAAUGGAGGAGAGGGGGCCGAGGGUCCCUGCCUGGGUGGGCACAGUAGAAGCUAUGGUCUCAGGCACUCGGUGGAUUCGCAGGAGCUAGGCACAAAGGGGGGGGGGGCAUCUAUGGCCCUAGUGGAGCUGGUGCUAACUCUGCAGGCCUUGCAGAUGGCAUGUGGCCACCUGUUGUCCUGAGGGGCAGUUGGAAGAGGAGGUGGUUGGCCAUUAGUAAAAAUGCCGCUGGAGCCUCUGGUGCAAGCAGCAGGUGAGAACCAUCCCGCAGAUCUGCCAGAUGGAGAAAGCAGAGGAGCAAAGAGAAAUCAGAACUCCUGGAAGCUGCUGGCCCCCAGGGCCCUGGAGCAGUGCUGCUCACUCGAAUCCCCUGGGGCCUGGGCAAAGGGCAGAUUCCUGCUCAAAAUAUCAGGGUGGGGCCUGAGGUUCUGCAUUUCUGACAAGCUCCCAGGUGAUGGUUUUGUGCCUGGGGGAACCACAUUCUGCCAUCUACUACCCAAAAGCAGGGCUUUGCACACUUUAAUGGGCAUGAAUCAUCUGGGGACCUCUUUAUUACAAUUCUGCAGGCCUAGUGGCGGCCUGAGAGUCUGCAUUCCUAGCAAGCUCCCAGUUGAUGCUGCUGGUCUGUGGUCCCAGAUCUUCUCCAGAGAUGGCCUGAUUUAAUUAGGCCCUAAGAGUAAUGUUUCCACUCCCUCAUCAGAGCUGUCUGAAGUGGACUGUCUCUCUAGGAAAGAGUCUGCCUGUGUUUUGCUGUCCUUAGACUCCAGAGCAAAACUCAGGUCCAUCUUCGAUGCUCUGGCUGGUGUACAAGAGGCAUGGGGGAAACUGAGACUCUGGGAAGAGCCCCCUGAGCUGUCCCCCUGUCAGUCAGCAUAGAAUAAGAGCUGGUGAGCUCACCCUGUCAAUCAGUGUAGAAUGCAGCACCAAGCUCAGGCCCCAGGCGUCCUGUCUGCCAGCCCUUAUGUCGGUAUCCACAGCUGAACAAGGGGCUGGAGCAUCUGGUCCAAAGCAGACACAGGCCUGGGAGGAUCACCCUGCACACCCCCUUCUCACUUCUCCCACUUCCAGAAUGCAGAGGAGCUUUAUUCUCCCUCCUUGCUCUUCAUGGGCCCUCCUCUGCCUUCUUCCUCCUCUUCCUCUCCUCCCUCCCACCCAAGGAUGCAUUGAGGGUAAUGUGAUUAUGAUCCUGAUAAUGAUGAUGACAUGUUGUUGGAUCUCGGCUCUCUGCACACAGGAGGGGGCACUGGGCUAAAGCAGCCCCAUGACUGUCCCGUGAUACCUGGGGUGAAGGUGGCUCUCCUAAGUAUUGAAACAGUGUCCUGACUUUCCUAGCAGCUGCUGCUGCCCUGACCUUGCCGGUGCAAACCUGGACGCAGGUGGAGCUCUAUCCAGCGGGAGGAGAGCAGGCUGGUGGAGAUGCGUGUGUCCUGUACCAUCUCUGACAGCUAGCUGGGGGAGGUAGUGUGGAAGGGGCCCAUCCUCUUCCCCUCCUUCCUCCUCUCCAUCCCUCCCAACCUGGAGGACAGUGUGGAGUGUGAACACUGCUUUCAGCCUGCAGACUUGGUGUUAAUCCACCUGGGGCCUCAGACUGAAAGGCGGCUUAGGAGGUUAUCUCAUCUCCCGCUAGCUUUACGCAGGCGGCCGUCAUGCCGUUCCACCCAUGCAGGUGUCCCUACCUCAUGGUUUGAUGAUUUUCCUGUGGGAUUUUCUGGAUCUUAUCUGUGCUAAGAGGGAGGCCAGAAGGGAGCUGUUUGACCGGCACAGGUUUGUGCUGGAAACCAUGUCUGCAUCGCCUGCAAUGUACGUCUCCUGCUCGGGGAGGACUGGAGGGGCCACGAUCCCCAGCGGACAGGCUCCUGCGUGAGCUGGGUGUUCCCAGCGAGCCUCCCAGGACAGGCACAGUAAGGGGCAGAGGUGUGUGGGCCAGACCCUUAUCACUGCGUCCACAUGCACACACACACACUUGCACACACACACACACGUGAACACCACGCUGAAGCAUGUGGAGGGUACAGGAUGCCACCCAGUCUGGUUCCUGAAUAGGCAUUGCCAUCUCCCUCCUGACAGAGGACACUGAGAAACCAGCACGGAUGGCUCCAGCAGCCAGCAGGGGGCACACAGAGACAACACAAGGCCAGCUAACCGCAGGUGCUGGAGGUGGCAGAUGGGGUUGGGCCCAGCUUGGAGGCCCAGCCACGUGGUGCCUGGUGCUAUCUUCUGGCAGCUGCCUGUGUGUGACACUUGGCCACAUAUGGGACAUUUUUAACAGGGAGGCCGUCCUGCCUUCAGCUUCCUCUGAGGCUUCUGAGUCAGCACCUGGCUGUCAGCAGAGAGCAUGAAGGAAGGGCCACAGAGCUUCUGAGAAGUCAUUCCAAAAUGAUUGGUUUCCCUUUUAAUGACCUGCAGAUCCCAGUCUUGACUGUCUUGUGUUUUCCAUGCUCUGAGACAUGUUUCCAUCUUGCAAGGUGAGCAUGUUGGAGGUGGGCUAGGUUCUACUUGAGGCUGCACCAGUGGCCUGUGUGAUCUUGGGUAAAGUUACCUCCCUCUCUGAGCCUCAAAUCCCCCUCUGCCAAUAGGAAAACAUCCGGUCUGUACACUGGUCUAGGGUCUUCCUUGGCAAGAUUCUUUAAAAACUAGGAUAACAAGAACCAACAGCACAGCACCCAGUCCUUCCAACACCCCAAUCCUUUGAGAGGCCAGGCAGGAUAAAGACCCCCGCUCCCCACCUGCAAGCCAGGGCUUUGCACACGCUAUUCCCUCACCCUGGCUCUUUCCCCUCUGUCACUGCCUAUCGGGCUCCUUCAGGACUUAAUGAGAUAUCACUUCCUCCAGGAAGCCUUCCCUGACCUCCCGUGACUGGUUAGGGCCACUGAUGUUUGCUUCUUAAACCCAAGGACUCCUGCUAACACAGCACCUAGCACUGCACUGUGACUGCCAUACACUUACCUGUCCCCUUCCUUCAAGUAAAAUCUCCCUGGGAGAAGGGACGGCACUCUGCCUGCAAUGGGGCCCUGGCACUGGGCACAGCACCUGGCACACAGCAGCUCUGUUCCAAAGUAAACACAGCCUCCUCUGCCGGCCCCCUGGGCGGAGGCUCCCAGGACGCUGAUGUGAGGAGGGCUGCAGGAAAAGGGCUGGGCUACUGUGACAUUUUUAGUGAAAUGUUCCCCAGCCAGAAUAUUCUAGAAAUUAGCUUCUAAAGUUACCUCAAAGUGGAGUGCCUCCAGAUUCCACCCACAAGAGGGGAAGCUGGUGCAGAGGAAGCAGGCCUGUGAGCUGGAGGCCUGGCCAGCUCUGCCACAGCGGCUGUGUCACCUUCAGCAGGUGACUUUCUGGUGAGGCUUGAUGUCUUCAGAUGUGCAUGAAUAAGAUGAGCCCAGGGACUCUGAACCCCGAAUGUAUGUUUGACCCAGCUGGGAGGCUUAAAAAUACCCGUGCACAGACCUCAGCCCAGUCCAGACAAUCCGAGCCAGUCUGUGGAGGGGGUGCCAGAGCAAUGUGUGUGUGUGUGUGUUUUUUUUUUUUUUUUUUAGAUGGAGUAUUGCUCUGUCACCCAGGGUUGAAGUGUAGUGGCACAAUCUUGGCUCACUGUAACCUCCACCUCCCGGGUUCAAGCAAUUCUCCUGCCUCAGCCUCCCGAGUAGCUGGGAUUACAGGCGCGUACCACCACGCCCAGCUAAUUUUUUGUAUUUUUAGUACAGACGGGGUUUCACCUUGUUAGCCAGGCUGGACUCAAUCUCCUGACCUUGUGAUCCACCUGCCUCCACCUCCCAAAGUGCUGGGAUUACAGGCGUGAGCCACUGCGCCUGGCCACAAUGGUAUUUAAAAAACUCUACUCUAGCGUGCAGCCAGGGCCGGUGGCAGUGGUCCAGGUAGUCUGUAAGGCCUUUCCAGGUGGAAGAGUCUGAUCGGAUGGUACCUCAGCACUGUGAUGAUCCUGUCCAGGUCUGAAACUGCCUCUGGUGUGCUGUUCCAUGACUGAGGUGGGUGAGAAGCCUGGGGGGCCCCUGCUGAGGGGAUAGGUGCACUCCCAGAAUGCAGAACUUCAGCAUGGAGGGGCCUCUGCCGAUCAAGUGCAGGGGAUUCUCCCUUCAGCAUCCCUGCCGGCCCCCAGCCUCUGCCCCAACCUGCAGCCGCAGGGAGUUUAGUACUCUGCAAGGGCCACUGUUUAGCAGUUCAAAUUGUUAAAAAGUUCUUGAAUGUGUCUCCUUGAAAAUAAUUCCACCUACUGUUCCCCUUCUGUCCUCUGGAACCUCCCAGGAACAGUCCCUCCUUUCCCCACAUGACUGCCUUGGGCAUUUCAAGACCACGAGGGUGCUGCAUCUGCUCCCCAUCUCCUGACCUCUGUCACAUCUGACUUCUGGGCCCCACACUCCCCUUGCCACUCCCUCUGCAUCUGGCCGCAUAGUGGCAUCACUAGAGAGCUUCACGAAUACACUGAUGCCCAGGUGCCAUACCCAGACCAUUUUGUUUCAUUUUGCUGCGGGGAGCCCAGGCCUGGGGUAUUUUAUUUUUCUUUGAGACGGAGUCUCACUCUGUCGCCCUGGAGUGCAGUGGCACGAUCUAGGCUCACUGCAACCUCCGCCUCCUGGGUUCAAGCGUUUCUCCUGCCUUAGCCUCCUGAGUAGCUGGGAUUACAGGCGCGCGCCUCCAUGCCCAGCUAAUUUUUGUAUUUUUAGUAGAGACGGGGUUUCACCAUGUUGGCCAGAAUGGUCUUGAUCUCUUAAGUUCAUGAUCCACCUGCCUCGGCCUCCCAAAGUGCUGGGAUUACAGGCCUGGGGUAGUUUUAAAGCUUGUCAGGUGAUCCCAAUGUGCAGCCAAGGUUGAGGACCACUGCCCCGGGGCUCUGCGGAGGUCUGGUCCCACCUGGAGGGUGGCCUGAGCUGGCACCUCCCACACCCUGACUCUCUCCAUGAUUUCUACCAGUGCAGUUCCAGGCCACAUCUUUGUGGGCAGCACCCUAUCAUGUAACUCAGGCAGAUGCCCUCUCUCUGUUAUAGGCUUAAGUGCAAAACAAAACAAAGCUCAAGUGCAAGGACUUUAAUUCUAUUAAAGGUUUUACCCUUCGUUUCAGCACAUCUUCAUAUCCAACGAGCUCUUUUUUCAAUGAUGGCUUUAUCAUACAACAGACCAGAAAUGCUAGGUAAAUAGUUGAGCAUGCUUCCUGGGUCUUCGUUGAGAUCACCAAGAAAAAUGAAGAGACAGGUCUGAGGCUGAAGGCCACGGCCCGCUCCUGGAGACUUUUUGCCAAGCUGAUGUGAACUCUCAUCUCUCAUCUCUCUCUCACAGCGUGGCCAUCCAGCCUGCCCUGAUUUCUCCUGAGCAUACAAGUGCCUGGUCCACACGUCCACAAGGUAACAAGGAAUGCAUUGCCAAAUACCUGGCUGAAAUCAAGGUGUGCUCCCUUCAUUAAAUAUUCUGCUUAGUUUUCAGUGUUCACAAACCAUCUACUUUAACACUCCAGGUGUUGCAGGACAUCAGUCUCAAGGUCACUGGUUCCUGCGAUGGGAACCUUACUGAAAAAUCAUAGAACACUAGAUCCAGAAGGUUCCAUAGAAAUGGGCUAGACCCACAGCUUUCAAGCUGUAUUGGAAACCCUUAGUGUAGCUCAGGGCCACCAAGGGCAGUGAGGGGAGGCCGUCAUGCUAGGCUUGUCCCUGCCUGAAACAGCUCCACCUCCUAUGGUUUAUAUACUGGGCUCCUACGUGAUAUUUCCAUUGAAAAGAGGAUGCUGCUACUUAAAAAAGGCUCACAAAUAUCCAAUCUGUCCAUUUUACAGGUAAGGACACUAAGGGCUCAGAGAGGGAAUGAGAUUUCCCUGAGGUCACACAGCAAGAGGUGGGGCUAUGUUUAGAAAUCAGGCCCUGUAACUCCCAAGCAAGAUUUCUUGCAGUAGCUGGGGGCUGGGGAACAUUAUGACACCAUGUUGGACUGAUAUUUCCUGAGCCUUGGGGGUCUUGGAAGUGCCAGGCUGGGUAUGUAGGGGAGAUAAAUGCCUGGUGUCUGCUCUCUAGGAGGUAAACUAUGACCCUGGGGAAGAGACUGGUAUGAGCCCUUUCUCAAAGCUUAGGACCCACCUGGGACUUGAGCAGUGCAGUGCCCAGCGUCAGCUGGCAGAGGGAGCCCUAACCCGAGGCUUGGCCGCUCCUGGGCUGGCUCAGUGGGCCACAGCAGAGAAAACUGGGCAAGAGGUUGAGAGCCACCGAAAGCCAUUCCAUAGCAACGGCGAAGGAACAGACUGCGUGGUGGGGGUUGUGAGUGGGCAGGAGGAGUGGCAGGCCUGCAGGUCCACUGCUCAACAACCUGACCUCUUCAAUAUCAGACUUAUGCAGCUGUGUGGUUUACCUUGACCGUCGGCUCUGGGCAUCCGCAGUCCUGCUCCCUGCCCUCAGCCUCACUGCCCUCGUCUGCAGCUUCUACAGGCUCUCAAGGCCAGAGAGGUGAAGAAGAAAUGGACAGAGCAGGCCCCCUCAACACCUGGAGUAACAGGUUUCUGGAAAGUUCAACUGCUCUGUGCUGCUGAGCAUACCUUCUCCUGUUCCCACUGACUACUCCCCUGGGGUUCAGCACACAGGACAGAAGGCCUGCCCUGGGGAAGUGCAAUAGAGGGGCAAUGCUCAUGCCACCUGGGCUCCCUGGCCCUGCAGCUGAGUGAGAAUGAUGGGGAGCAGGCUGGUCUGGCCAAGCUUUUUUUUGAGAGACAACGUACUAAUGCAGAAAUCAUAAAAAUGAUGGGUAUCAUUUAUUGAACACCUGCUAUCUGCUCAGCCAUGAGCCAAGUGACUUACAUGGAUAUUGCUAAUUCCCACCACCAGGCAAGCAGAUAAGGUAUAACUAGCCCCAUUUUACAAAUGAGUAACUGAGGCUCAGAGAUGAAAGAACUGGCCCUAGGUCAGUCACACAGCUGUAGGUGGCAGAACCAAGAUGGGUGUCCCUCCAGAGGCGACAGACCCUCCUCCCAGUGUGUUAGGCUGCAGCUAGACCUUCCAGGCCCACAGAUGAUGUGGGUAGGUGGCACCAUGGUUUCCAAGGACCCUGCACUGGAAGUCUCUCCAAGCCAGCCAAGGCCACUGUCCCCUGCUUCUCUUUCCCACAGAUCUCUGUGUCAUGGUAGGGAGUUCGGGAAAGCAAAGAACCAAAGCCAGGAGACCUGGGUGCUGGUUCAGGGUGUGAGGCCCUGGGUAAGUCACCUCUCUGGGUCUCAACUUUCUGAUCUGUAAAAUGUGGAGAACAGCUGGGUGCCAUGGCUCAUGCCUGUAAUUCCAGCACUUUGGGAGACUGGGGUGGGCAGAUCACCUGAGGUCAAGAGUUCGAGACCAGCCUGGACAACAUGGUGAAACCUCAGCCUCUACUAAAAAUACAAAACUAGGCGGCGUGGUGGUGGGCACCUGUAAUCCCAGGUAUUUGGGAGGCUGAGGCAGGAGAAUUGCUUGAACCUGGGAGGCGGAGGUUGCAGUGAGCUGAGGUGGCACCACUGCACUCCAGCCUUGGCGACAGAGUGAGACUGUCGCAAAAAAAAAAAAAAAAAAAAGAAAAAAAAGCGAAGAACACUACUCCUUGUCUGGCCUGGGUCUCAGGUUGUUGUGUGGACCCAAUGAGAGGAAGCAUCAGAAAUCCUCUGAAGUCUACAGAAAACUGGAGAAAGACAGCUUCCACUUCUGGAGGCCUUCCUAUGUGCCAGGUACUUCGUAAGUGGGUUGCAAGCAUUGCCUCAUUCUUAGACCUUAAGAGCUGGGGAAAUGGUCCACAUUUUGCAGAUGAAGAAGUCAAUGGACAGGGAAGUUAGGUAGCUCAAGGUUACCUAGGAGCAAAGCCAGGACUGGACCCGGGCCUUCUGGGGCCAAAGCCUCUGCUCCUCCCCUUCUCUAGAUGGUGCUUAGCCCUGGAGUGGGAAGGGCUUCGCAGGACAGCAAGACUCCUAGAAGGACAGCCCACACUCAGCUCCUGCUGAGCGGAAGCAGGCGUGUUCGUGAGCUGGGGACUGCAGGGGCCCUUGCCGCUGAGGAGGCCUUCCUGGCUCCCCUCCUUCGGACCCUUGACUAGAGUAACCUGAGAGAGUCACCCUGACUUCCUGGGUGGCAGCCAGGGGAGAGGGUACAGGGAGAAAUGGGAGCUAAAGGCAUUGCUCAUCCUCAGGGAGACAGCUGGAUGAGGGCGCGCACACACACACACACACACACACACACACACACACACACAGUCACUGCCCUGGACACCAAAAUCCAUGGAUGCUCAAUUCCUGAUAUAAAAUGGUGCAAUAUUUGCAUAUAACCUAUGCACAUUCUCCCCUAUAUAAUACCUUAACUCAUCUCUAGACUACUUAUACUACCUCAUACAGUGUAAAUGCUACGUAAACAGUCGGUAUAUCGCAUUACCCAGGGAAUGAUGGCAAGGUUGUUCAGUACAGAUGCAAUCAUCCAUUUUUUGGAAUAUUUUUCAUCUACAGUUGGUGGAACUCACGGAUGCAGAACCCACAGACAUGGAGGACUGACUAUACACACACACAAACACACAUGCACACACAAAGGAAUGAAUGCAGAUACGUGCACACUCACACACACAUGCACAAGCACCCCUAAACACCUAUACGUGCAUACAACCCCAACCACAUGGACCCAGAAGCAUGCAGACACACGUGCCACAGAUGGCUUGCACGCUCACCUCCACGUGCACACACAUGGGGUGCAUGCACAUACCUGAGCCCACACUCACACUCCGCCCAGGUCCCUGUUCCUGACAAGUUCAUGUUGUCCCCAGCUAUUUUCCUUCAUGUUCUCUGGGGGAGAGACUGACCGUGGGAUUCAGCCUUGGUUGCAGAGGGAAGGGGAGAGAAGAAGAGAGCAGGGUAGGGUGCGGGUGUGCAAAGGGUCAGUUAUUUCAGCCCAGGUGGUUACUGAAGACCUGUGUCAAUGGGAGAGGGGUUCAGAGCCCUUCCACCCCCGCAGUCCCCGCACUGCAACUCACCUGCAGGCAGGCCACCCCGAUGCCCACCGCCCCCAUAAGCAGCAGGUGGUCGGCCAGGAACUGCUCCAGCUUGGUGAGGCAGCCUCCCUGUAAGAGAAGGGCAGGUGAUGCGGCCAUGGCCCAGGAGCAGGCAUGGGUGGGGACGGAGGGCGGGCUGUCACUGCAGCAGAGGCCGAGGACAGGCCAGAGGACUCACAGGCUGGACCCAACCUUGAAUUGCUCACAGGCUACUUGAGUGGCCCCAGGGGCAUGCCAUGGUGUCCUAGACUCUCCGGUAUGAGCGAGCUGCUUGUCCCAGGGCUUUGUAGAGACUCUGGAAAGCCCCACUGUGGGCUUGUGGCCAAGGAGCACAUGUGUCCUGCUUUUCCCACACCCACCUGCCUGACCCAGCCUUUCUGGGGCUCCUGAACGGCCAGGCCAGGGCCCUCUCCUCACCCCCAGCUUGAGCUUGGGUGCUCACCUCCACCUUAUAGAUGUUGGAGGGGUGGGCCCGCUGGCCGCAGCGCGCCACCACUGUCUUGCAGCAGCUGUCGGGCACCUGGCGGCCCUCGGCCUCCCGCGACAGGAUGUACGUGCUGUGCUGCCAGUCGGCUGAGCUGUUGCUUCCGCAGCACUUGAACUGGAGGCAGAGGCAGAGGCUGGAGGACACUGACAGAGGAUGCAGGAGGAGGAAACGUCACUUACCCUCUGGUAAUACACAUGGGCCAGGACUCCCGCCACCAGCUCAACCAG